AGCAGGGUGGCGCAGUGGAAGAGUGCUGGGCCAAUAACCCAGAGGUUAAUGGAUCGAGACCAUUUCCUGCUA
rnacentral:tRNA from 1 species